rnacentral:rRNA from 1 species
UACGUAGGGGGCAAGCGUUGUCCGGAAUCAUUGGGCGUAAAGAGCGUGUAGGCGGUCCGGUAAGUCGGCUGUGAAAGUCCAAGGCUCAACCUUGGGAUGCCGGUCGAUACUGCCGGACUAGAGUUCGGAAGAGGCGAGUGGAAUUCCCGGUGUAGCGGUGAAAUGCGCAGAUAUCGGGAGGAACACCUAUGGCGAAGGCAGCUCGCUGGGACGUUACUGACGCUGAGACGCGAAAGCGUGGGGAGCAAACAGG